rnacentral:rRNA from 1 species
CCUACGGGGCGCAGCAGUGGGGGAUAUUGCACAAUGGGGGAAACCCUGAUGCAGCGACGCCGCGUGUGGGAAGACGGUCCUCUGGAUUGUAAACCACUGUCCCCAGGGACGAAGAUGACGGUACCUGGGGAGGCCGCUCCGGCUAACUACGUGCCAGCAGCCGCGGUCAUACGUAGGGAGCGAGCGUUGUCCGGAAUUACUGGGUGUAAAGGGAGCGUAGGCGGGACUGCAAGUUGGGUGUCAAAUCUACCGGCUCAACCGGUAGCCGCACUCAAAACUGCAGUUCUUGAGUGAAGUAGAGGCAGGCGGAAUGCCUAGUGUAGCGGUGAAAUGCGUAGAUAUUAGGAGGAACACCAGUGGCGAAGGCGGCCUGCUGGGCUUUUACUGACGCUGAGGCUCGAAAGUGUGGGGAGCAAACAGGAUUAGAUACCCCAGUAGUC